ACCGCCUUGGGAUAGGCUUGCGUCUGAUUAGCUAGUUGGUGUGGUAACGGCACACCAAGGCUACGAUCAGUAACUGGUCUGAGAGGAUGAUCAGUCACACUGGAACUGAGACACGGUCCAGACUCCUACGGGAGGCAGCAGUGAGGAAUAUUGGGCAAUGCUCGAAAGAGUGACCCAGCAACGCCGCGUGGAGGAUGAAGGUAUUCUAUAUCGUAAACUCCUGUGAGAGCAGACGAAAGACAGAUUAUUAAUCUGGAUGACUGUAUGCUCAGAGGAAGCCCCGGCUAACUACGUG
rnacentral:rRNA from 1 species